CACAAUGACUCUCGGCAACGGAUAUCUCGGCUCUUGCAUCGAUGAAGAACGUAGCGAAAUGCGAUACUUGGUGUGAAUUGCAGAAUCCCGUGAACCAUCGAGUCUUUGAACGCAAGUUGCGCCCGAAGCCAUUAGGUCGAGGGCACGUCUGCCUGGGUGUCACA
rnacentral:rRNA from 5 species